CUGUGUCUCCCCACGCGCAGUGCGGUUGCGCGUGACACUUCACAGUGGUAGAAAGACCUACGUACCUACAUAAUAACAACCAUCCAUCCCUCUCUUUCUCUCUCACUUCUGUCCCUAUUUUUCAUCUGAGAAAAAAACGGAGCAAGACUCUCAUUCCUCAACUCACAGUCUCAAAGUCCACCACAGCAGCAGCAGCAGCUACACUGCUUCAGAUCCCCGGGUCGGGUAAAAUGGAGACCGGCCCAAGCCCACGGCUCACUCCGGCCGAAUGCGACGUCGUAUUCAGCGAUUGAAUCUUUUGUGAGAGUCCCCCGGUUUUUUUUUUGAGCUCCGAAAAUGGCGGCGGCUACUAACACGACGACGCAGACGGUGGCGGCGGGAAUGGAAGUCUCGGUGUACGCGUCGCCGGACGACGCGGCGGCGAAGGUGGUGACGAAGCGCUACGAGGGCUUGGUGAUGGUGAGGACCAAGGCCAUAAAGGGCAAAGGGGCUUGGUACUGGGCCCACCUAGAGCCCAUUCUGGUUCACGACGCCGACACCGGCCUCCCCAAGGCCGUCAAGCUCCGCUGCGCUCUCUGCGAGGCCAUUUUCUCGGCGUCCAAUCCGUCGCGCACGGCGUCGGAGCACCUCAAGCGCGGCACCUGCCCCAAUUUCAGCUCCGUCUCCAAGCCCGCCUCUUCUUCGUCUCCGUCGCCGAUAUCCACUUCUCUCCCCAACUCCGCUCCGCCGCCGCCGCACCACAACCCGAGGAAGCGGAGCUCCUCCUUCCCGGCGGCUGCGGCUUCCGGGAGCGCCCCGCCGCCGUCGUCGUACAGCCUUCCGUCGCAGAGCAUGGUGGAUCGGACGCGGUUCUGCGGCGGAGAGCUGACGUACGCUUCGGCGGUGCCGAGUCAGCAGGCUCAUUUGGUGUUGUCCGGCGGGAAAGACGAUUGGGGAGCUCUGGCGAUGCUGGAGGACAGUGUGAAGAAGCUCAAGAGCCCGCAAACGUCGCGGGGGCCGGCGCUGUCUAAGAGCCAAGUGGACUGUGCGCUUGAUUUGCUAGCUGAUUGGGUGUAUGAGUCAUGCGGGUGGGUUUCGUUUUCGAGCCUGGAGCAUCCCAAGUUCAGGGCAUUUCUUAACCAGGUGGGCUUGCCCGCGGUUUCAGGGAAGGAGUUCACGGGGUUUAGGUUGGAUGCUAAGUAUGAGGAAGCAAAAGCUGAGUCUGAAGCCAGGAUUCGAGACGCUAUGUUCUUCCAGAUUGGCUCUGACGGCUGGAAGUGCAGGAAUGGUGGCGGUUUAGGUGAGGAUAAUCUUGUCAAUUUGACUGUGAAUCUUCCCAAUGGGACUAGUUUGUACAGGAGGGCCGUGUUUGUUGGCGGCUCUGUGCCGUCUAAGUAUGCCGAGGAGGUUAUGUGGGAGACGAUCACGACCAUUUGUGGGAAUGCUGUGCAGCAAUGUGUAGGAAUAGUAGCAGACAGGUUUAAGAUUAAGGCAUUGAAGAAUUUAGAGAGUCAGAAUCAAUGGAUGGUGAAUCUAUGUUGUCAGUUUCAGGGUUUUACUAGUUUGAUCAAGGAUUUCAGUAGGGAGCUUCGAUUGUUCAAGGAUGUUACUGAAAACUGUUACAAGCUUGCGAGUUUUGUGAAUAACAAGUCUCAGGUUAGGAGUAGCUUUCAGAAGUAUCACUCCCAGGGGUGGGGUUUGUUACGAGUGCCGUCGUUGAGCGAUUAUGAGAUGCUUAACUUUGGUCCAGUGUAUGUCAUGGUUGAGGAUAUUCUUCACUCGAGGCAAGCACUUGAGUUGGUUGUGUUAGAUGAAUGUUAUGAAUUGGUAUCAAUGGAGGACGCAACGGCAAGAGAAGUCGCUGAGAUGAUUGGGGACAUGAAGUUUUGGAAUGAAUUGGUGGCAGUGCAUUCUUUGGUGAAACUCAUCAAGGACAUGGCUCAAGAGAUUGAGACAGAUAGGCCACUGGUUGGGAAAUGCCUCCCACUUUGGGAUGAAUUAAGAGCAAAAGUGAGGGACUGGUGUUCAAGUUUGCAUAUUGAUGAAGGUCCGGUGGAGAAGGUGAUUGAAAAGCGGUUCAAGAAGAAUUAUCAUCCAGCUUGGGCAGCUGCAUUUAUACUGGAUCCAGUUUAUUUGAUCAGGGACAAUAGUGGAAAGUACCUCCCACCAUUCAAAUUGUUGACGCCGGAGCAGGAGAAGGAUGUGGACAAGCUCAUAACCCGGCUUGUAUCAAGGGAGGAGGCUCACAUUGCACUAAUGGAACUUAUGAAAUGGAGAACAGAAGGGCUUGAUCCCGUAUAUGCGCGCGCAGUACAGAUGAAGGAGAGGGAUCCCGUUUCAGGCAAGCUGAGAAUUGCUAACCCACAAAGCAGUAGACUUGUGUGGGAAACAUAUCUCACUGAAUUUAAGUCACUAGGGAAAGUUGCAGUUAGGCUCAUUUUUCUUCAUGCAACUUCAUGUGGUUUCAAAACCAGUUGGUCUUUAAUGAGGUGGGUGUCUGCAAAUGGGCACUCAAGGGUGAGCAUGGACAAGGCACAGAAGUUGAUCUUCAUUGCAGCUCAUUCCAAGCUUGAAAGACGAGAUUUUUCCUGUGAUGAAAUUAAGGAUGCGCAGCUACUUACCCAAGCAAAUGGGUUCGACUGACUGCAAGACUUGCUUUGAUCUGGAGGAGCCAUUUUUGCACCAGGUGGUUUCUUCUCAGAACAGUUUGACAAAGAUGUGGCUGGACUGGAGAAGCCACCUUAAAAUGGUUGGUGGUUGGCAUAACCCAUUGGACCAUGAGAAAGGAAGAGCUUGCCUGAAAGGAUCCAAAGGCAGAUAGGACCUGAAAUUUUUCCUGGCUUUUGCAAAUGCAGGGCUGUGGUUUUUCUCAUAGCAAGCCAGAGUUUGACAAAUGCAAAGCUUUAGAGCUGGAGAGGCACUUUUCUUUCAGCUAAGCCCCCACCAUGAGAGAAGUGGAAAUCGUUUUUCAAGCUUUGGUUUUUUGGUCAUGGAGACUGAUGGGAAUUAUCAGGGUUUUUUUUUUGCCACCAUCAAAUCAGCAUCU